rnacentral:lncRNA from 1 species
GCCAACAGAAUAAUAAUCUCAAGGGUUGGUACCUUGUGCACUUGGUAUCGCCACGUGGUAAAGCGCCUGUCCCGAACGAUGACGAUUACAACUUUGAUCCUAACACAUAUGUCGGAGAAUUCUUUCAACCUGAGGGGCUAGAAGGGAGGUUGGAGAUAGAUAUUCGUUCACUAAUGGAUAUGGAAGUAGACAACGAAGUUGAUGAGGACGAGGGAUAUGAGGUGAAUGAUGCUAGGGACUUACGAUUGCUUGAGCGCUUGAAGUCGCCGAGUGACCAUGACGAGGCUGUUAGUAGCGAAGGCGAGGGAGAAUCGUUCGACAACAUUGAUAGCGAUGAGGACUAAAUUGCAUGUAAUAUUUAAUUGUUAUUCGUAAUUAUGUUUAUUUCAUUUUGCAUGUCUUUAUAAGUACUUCUUGUGUAUUUGUACUAAUUGGCUUAAUCUUUGUAAUUGCAGGCACUCGGCACAAUGCCGGGAGGAGGUAGGAGAGCGGGCAGCAGACCCCAGCGACAGGUCGCGUCCCUCUACCAGUCGAGGGACGCCGACGACGGUG